rnacentral:misc_RNA from 1 species
GAUGAAGAACGUAGCGAAAUGCGAUAAGUAAUGUGAAUUGCAGAAUUCAGUGAAUCAUCGAAUCUUUGAACGCACAUUGCGCCCGCCAGUAUUCUGGCGGGCAUGCCUGUUCGAGCGUCAUUUCAACCCUCAGGGCCCGCCUGCUUGCAGGCGCGGCGCUGGUGUUGGGGAUCGGCUACCCUGCCGUCCCCCAAAUACAGUGGCGGUCUCGCUGCAGCCUCCCCUGCGUAGUAGCAACACUCGCAUGCGGAGCGCGGCGCGGCCACGCCGUAAAACCCCCGACUUUCUGAACGUUGACCUCGGAUCAGGUAGGAAUACCCGCUGAACUUAAGCAUAUCAAUAAGCGGAGGA